rnacentral:rRNA from 1 species
UGCNAGUCGAGCGGUAAGGCCUUUCGGGGUACACGAGCGGCGAACGGGUGAGUAACACGUGGGUGAUCUGCCCUGCACUUCGGGAUAAGCCUGGGAAACUGGGUCUAAUACCGGAUAUGACCUCCUAUCGCAUGGUGGGUGGUGGAAAGAUUUAUCGGUGCAGGAUGGGCCCGCGGCCUAUCAGCUUGUUGGUGGGGUAAUGGCCUACCAAGGCGACGACGGGUAGCCGACCUGAGAGGGUGACCGGCCACACUGGGACUGAGACACGGCCCAGACUCCUACGGGAGGCAGCAGUGGGGAAUAUUGCACAAUGGGCGAAAGCCUGAUGCAGCGACGCCGCGUGAGGGAUGACGGCCUUCGGGUUGUAAACCUCUUUCAGCAGGGACGAAGCGCAAGUGACGGUACCUGCAGAAGAAGCACCGGCUAACUACGUGCCAGCAGC